AGGAAGUGUUGGUGAGUACUGGCUCUGGGUUUGCUGGCAACUUGCCGCCAGUAGUAAGCGAUGCAUAUCCGGCGGAUGCUUGCAAGUGACCGCACUCUUCUUCGGAACGUCGUCCAUUAAUUUGCGGGGUCCGCUGCGCCAUGGACGGCCUCUUGCCUGGCCCGGGUGCGAGGUCGCCCUUAGCAGCGUCCCCAGGGGAAGCCCGGAGGGGGAACGCGGUGAUCCGAGUAAUUCAGAGUGACCUCGGCCGACCCAUAGCACCGAACCCUGGGGCCUUUCAGCAGAGCUCUCAGAUCUGACUGAGACAGUUGAUUCCGUUUUUCCUUCCGUAUCCCAGCCGGGGGUUGGCUGGACUGGUCGGCUGACAGAACCAAAACCGAGAUGAGUCGCUACAGCACACGGAUGCGCAAUUGAGCCGAAACAUCUAUCCUGCGGUAUCGUUCUAGAGGAGUCUACCGAAUAUAUUGUCUCCUGCACUGAGCAAACAAAAUGCCUGGUGCCAGCAGGUAAUUCCAGAUACCGGCACGUCGACGCAAUGCAGUGACUCUACCACGGUACACUGGGAGCGUGACGUCGCCCCGAAGUGAUCACCUUCUAGGGGCCUGCGAUCGGCGACGAGGCAUCUCGAUCCGUCUAAUGUACACGACUGGAGGAAACGACACGGUGUGUGUUGGAGAGAGCCGGAGUGAUCGCUAGAUCGAAUCAUGUCCACGGCGGCAGCGGAGACUCGCCUGUCGAUCGGGAUCCGGCAAAGGUUCUGGCUUCUGACCGGAUGCAGACGAGAGCGGACUGUGGAGUUCCUGUUCCAGGGCGAGCACUUGAGCUCCCAGUUCAAGUGCCUGUGCUUGGGGCCGUGCUGAGUUGUGACCGAAGAAGCUCCGAACGCCUCCUGGCGUUGUGAGAGGGGGGGGUGGCGAUGAAUCGCGCUUACCUACCAUGCGUUCUGCAAGGCACACAACAAGAAACUAUUGUGGCCCCUUUGGCCCGUUUUGCCGGUGCCACUGUUCGUAGGUUGGCAGGGACAAGGUGAGUUAACGUCUUUUCAUGCUCCCCAGGCGCCGAUGUGUAUGAAGGCCCUGACGCUGACAGCACAGUAACGGCAUCGCAUCGGCUAUCGAGUUUCUGCACCUUCACGAAAUAAUCGGGUUUUUAUGGUUGCUUGUGAAUAAACC
rnacentral:lncRNA from 1 species